rnacentral:lncRNA from 1 species
GAAAUUAACUCUUUCCUCCCUUUUUCAGGGAAGGUGUUCGAUAAGUACUUUGUGAUUAAUUUCCUCGGUCUGUUUCAAGGGGGGUGGGUCUCAAUGUCAGCAACAGUAUUGACUCUGUAAUUUCUCUGCAGCGCUGGCUGGGAUGUCUUUUCUCCCCCUUAUCCUCCCUUCCCUCAUCUAGCACAGGCAGGUUACGUGGAAAACAUAUUCUAAUAAUUACGAAAUCAAUAUAUUGGGCAGCAGUGACUUUUUUUUUUUUUUUAGAAGUAAGUAAAGACCAUUUAACAUUGAAAUUUUAAAACUUCCUUUCAGGCUUGAGCUGGGAAAACCACUGGCCUAUUCCAGGGAUGAUAAAAGCAAUAGGAACUGUAGGUUCUGUCUAGAUCUUUUAAAGAUCGAAUUUAGAGGGGAAAAAAAUGAUUUUGCCUGCGGAUGGCUGUGAAAGCAUCAGGACUACACUGUAGAGCUGGAGAGAAAGGUCCAAUUGUAGUAUGCUCCCUUUAAGAGGGAAACAAGAUUAGAACUUUGGCAAAUUUUCGGCUUCUAUUCAGAGGGAAAGAGAAGAGAUGGCAGUGUCCAAAAAAAAAAAAAAAAAAAGAGGAAGAAAGAAAGAAAGAAAAAGGAUGGUUGUCAUGAGACAAAAGCAAAAGCAAUUUUAUACCUUAUUGAAAGCUUACCUGGGCGUGGUUUUAACUCCUCUGGGGUUAAGAACAUUUUUUUUUUGCCCUCUUAAAACUAAAGGAGCUAGGGGAAAGGACUUGAAUCGGAGAGAGUGUCGCUGUCGGUUCUGUUCUGUCCUGGGAAGUGCACGAGGAAGAGAAAACGUCCGGGGAAGAGAGAGGGUGGCUGGCACUGAAGGGGAGGGUCUGCGGCAACCCCUAUGUUUUAACUGAAAACUGAAAUCAACAAAUAGCAACAGAACUAUUACUAGUACAAAAUCCACCUGGAUG